rnacentral:rRNA from 1 species
GUACACGCUGUGACUAGCAUAUCAAUAAGCGGAGGAAAAGAAACUAACAAGGAUUCCCCUAGUAACGGCGAGUGAAGCGGGAAGAGCUCAAAUUUGAAAUCUUAAGGGGUUUCCCUUUACGAAUUGUAGUUUAAAGAAGUGUUUUCUGUUGAGGUUUUGGUAAAAGUUCUUUGGAAUAGGACAUCAUAGAGGGUGAGAAUCCCGUAUUUGACCUUUACUUUCAACUUUGUGAUACACUUUCAAAGAGUCGGAUUGUUUGGGAAUGCAGUCCAAAAUGGGUGGUAAAUUUCAUCUAAAGCUAAAUAUUGGCGAGAGACCGAUAGCGAACAAGUACCGUGAGGGAAAGAUGAAAAGAACUUUGAAAAGAGAGUUAAACAGUACGUGAAAUUGUCAAAAGGGAAGCGUUUGACACCAGUGUUGUUUUUCUGAAAAUCAAUUAAAGAACUGUUUAUGCUAAGUUGUUUAGACUUUAUCAGCUAACUGUUUAGUUUUGAGCUUUUCUUUAAUGCACUUUUCAGUUAACAAGUCAACAUCAAUUUCUUUUGCUGUAAAAAAGCUUGAGGAAGGUGGCUUGAGAUUCGUCUUAAGUGUUUAUAGCCUCUUGCCUAUGCGGUCGGAGAGAUUGAGGUCUGCAGCGUAGAUCCUUCGGGGCUAAAUGCAUUUGUGCUAAGUUAUAGCAUUUUAUAGACAACUUGUUGACUAUGAUUUGUCUUGUAGCUUACUCGCUUAUGUUAUUUUACCUACGCUUAGGAUGUUGAGCGCAUGUCUCUCUCU